AUGGCGAUGCCGCGGGCCGUGUCCUUAUCGGUCGCCGUGCUCCUGGCGCUCCUGGCGUCGGCGGAGUCGUGGCUGUACGAGGAGUUCACCACGGACGGCAACGUGCGCGCCGACUACAACGCGCAGGGGCAGCAGGUGGCGUCGCUCGUCCUCACCCAGCAGUCCGGCGGCGGCGCCUUCGGCUCCCGGCAAAAGUACCUCUACGGCCAGUUCAGCAUCCAGAUGAAGCUCGUCCCCGGCAACUCCGCCGGCACCGUCACCUCCUUCUACCUGUCGUCGGGCGACGGCCCCGGGCACGACGAGAUCGACAUGGAGUUCAUGGGCAACGCCACGGGGCAGCCGGUGGUGCUCAACACCAACGUGUGGGCCAACGGCGACGGCAAGAAGGAGCACCAGUUCGACCUCUGGUUCGACCCGGCGGCCGACUUCCACACCUACACCAUCAUCUGGAACGACAAGAACGUCCUCUUCAAGGUGGACGACCUCUUCAUCCGCAGCUUCAGGCGCUACGCCGACCUGCCCUACCCGGGCGCCAAGCCCAUGUCCGUGCACGCCACGCUCUGGGACGGCAGCUACUGGGCCACGCAGAAGGGCAAGGUCCCCGUCGACUGGUCGGGCGCGCCCUUCGUCGUCUCCUACCGCGGCUAUACCGCCGACGCCUGCGUGCCAAACGGCGGGGAAGGCAGCCCGCUCUCCUGCCCCGCCGGCACCGACCGCUGGAUGAACCGGCAGCUCGACGACGCCGAGCGCGGCACCGUCGCCUGGGCCAAGCGCGACUACAUGCGCUACAACUACUGCGACGACGGCUGGCGAUUCCCGCAGGGCUUCCCCGCCGAGUGCUCACGCGGCUGA
rnacentral:rRNA from 1 species